CCAUGUCUCUGACCCCAACCCGAGCCCCUUCCCCAGCACCCUGUCGUGCUCCCUGGAUGGUUUCUGGAAUGCUCCAAAGAGGAGUCAGGCUCACAGGGCGAGCCUGCUGCCGAGUAUCAGGAGCGGGUGGCACUGACCUUGAACUCUCGGGGGCGUCUUGGAAACACACACGUGACUCGGCAACAGCCCCCAAGGAGGGUGAUCUCUGCUUGCUCCUUGGGACAGACUAUCUGCAUCGCUGGUCAUUGCAACUGCAGAAGGGACGCAGGCUCUGGAUGAUGCUUUGUAGCCAGUGUGACAGGAAACGAACCGAACUCAGGCGAUAUAUAAAUGUAACAGGCGACCUCGCAGGUCCCGUGUGUCGCACCUGCAGGAAUGCUAGUGGGGUUCCACGGUAAGAGGGGGGACCCGGGUAGCGUGUGGUGGCCGGUGACAGGGCCAACGUGUCCCGGGCUGGAGGGGCUGGAGCAGCGCGAGGCCACCAGGGGGACCGGGAGGGACGGGGGCCAGGCCGGGGCUGAGACGGAAGCCCGCUCCUCCCCGUGGUCCCCAUGGAGCCCUGGCCCCCCGGAUCCAGCACCGGAUCCAGCAGGGCCGGCUCUAGGCGGCAGGCGGUCGGGGCCACCGGGAAGCAUGUCUGUGGGACUCGCCCUGGGCUGCAGGUGGCAAGGACUCGAGGGACCAGUGGGAUGUGAGGUCGCGCCGGGCCCUCGGGGAGCGUAGCCUCCUACUGGACAGGCUGGGAGACGGGCACUGCCCCUCGGGGGGUCGGGCACCCGCAGCUCCUGCAGGCCCGGCAGCUCCCAGCCCCUGCGGCCCCAGGUUCUCCUGUCAUCAGGUGGGCGGCCCGGCAGGCCCCGCGUGUGCCCCGAGCCCGGGCCGGGUGACCCGCCGGGCGCUGGCUGGACGUUCGUCUGCUCCGGGACCCGCUCUCCUCGUGCGCCUCUGGACGAUGCCCCUCCACCGUCUCCAUUAUCCCGUUCUGACAGCUCUCCUCUCUGGGCUAAGCUGACGCUUGACGCCUCUCCUGGUCUCAGUGGUCAUGAGUCCGGACUCCAGGAUCAAAAGAGAGAAAGAGGGAAAAAAGGGACAAAGGUGUCCGACCUGCCUACAUAGACCCUGGGCUUCGUACCCUCUUCCUGUCGGAGGACCGCAGCCAGCUGGACCCCUGUACUCCCCGGAGCUGGACGCCCACGGUCACCUUGACUCUCUGGGCCUCUCCUCCACGUUCUUGCUGUUUCUGCCUCCAGUGUUCUGGGUCCUGGAGUGUGACCCACCGUGUGACCUGGGAGCUGACAGCGGGUCUCCCCCACGCCCAGCGUGAUACACUUUAAGGACUGGAUCUGAGGCAGGCAGGAGCGAGCCUGACUGGCCACCAGGGUCUGUUCCUCAUGCCUCAUAGGACUGGGAGUGGCUCUUUGAACCCUCCCACCCCGCCCAGCAGUGAGGACGGGUCCUCUCAGGUCCCCCCACAGGGGAGGACACAGCCUCUGGGGGAGAGGUCACAGCCAGAGCCGGGAGGUGACCCUCGUGCUCUCCAUGCUCGGCCCAUGCGCCCCAACUCAGAGCCUGGCAAGCUGAGGAACGUCCGAAAUGGGGCACCAAGAUGUCUCUGUAAGCGUGGAGGUUUACGCGAUCCCACAAGCAAUAGCCGAAUCUCAGACACAAUGAUGAGAAGAAAAUAGGAGGGAGCUCCCUUCAGGGGAAGAGGAAGUCAUACAGGCUCCCAAGGAAACAAUUACUUUUCAGAGAGGAAGCCCACUUGUCCUGUGUUUUCAGACAACUCACCACACACUCUCAGUCACUCCCGUGUCAAAUGAUCAAUCAGCCCACCCUUCACAUGCUUUCCUAGAAGUUUCCUUACAUGAGGAUUGACGUGAUGCCAAGUGAGCCCCCAGUGCCCGCGCCCCGACUUAAGAAAUAGACACAAGACUGGCCGACUGGGCCCCGGGCCCCCGUUUCCUGCCCGCUGGGAGGUUCGGGAAAAUGGGUGUCCCCUGACCUCCAGCUCGGGGCUCAGGAGGGGCGAGGGAUUAAGGGAGGGUCGGGGCAGGGCCUGGGAGGGGGCCGGCCUCUGGUCUGCAGGUGGUGGCCGUCCUGUCCUGCCCUGGAAUCCAGGCGGGACCCACACCUGGAGGCCUGCCCCCCUCCGCCCGGAUGCCGGGCCUACACAGCCCCCCAGGUCUCAGUAUGUCAGAGGAGGAAGGCGAGCUCCUCAAAUCCCGAGAGGCGCCAUCAAUAUUCACAAGGGCCCGUGAGAUUCUGCGUGUGCACGAGCCCUGAUCCACUUGAUCCAGCCAGUCCCCUAGCGGAGCACACUUCGGGUCUUUCCAAAUGUUUGCUAUUCUCAAGAAAGCCCUGGCGCUGAGUUUUACAAACGCUCUGGCAUUCUGGACAGAUGGUCGUUGGAAAUCCCCAAAGCAUUGCAAGCUGAGGCUCUGGUUCGCCUCGACAGAUUUCCCUUGACACCCUGCUUGGAGCCCUCUCCCACUGAGGCCGUGAGAGGCGCCUGGUGACACCCCCGCCCCGGCUCUCCUGCAUUUGGGGCGUCCUGGCAGGGGAAGAACAGGACCACCCAGCGGCUUGGGAGGAGGUCAGCCCCAAGCCAUAUCCCGGCCACUAUUCUGGUACACAAUCCCUGAGUUGCUGAGCUCACGUCACUCUGGAUGAACGCCCCUCCUUCCACAGCUGGGCUCAGCAGAGUCACCCAGGUCGAGGCUCCCUUGUUGGCCACCUAGAGCUGCUCCCUCAAGGAGAAGGGGUUCAGGUUGGACCCAUGGGGUUGAUGUCCUGGGCUGAGGAGAAGCCCAGAGGGCGUGGGGACAGAGGAUCAGUGUCCUGGGAACGGGGCCUGGGGACAGUCAUCACGUAGAGGGCCUGAGGGAUGGAAGGGGCAGCCCCUGGGUCUCAAGGGGUGACCGUGUUCCCAACUGCAACAGAGAAAAGCAUGAGAUGUGACCACAUGGACCAGCCGAAUUCGGGGCAGGGCUGCCCAGCGGCCACCGGCGAAGGCAACAAAAGCUUCCCGGGCUGGUUCCACGUGGCUGGAGACACAAAGAUGAAAAAGCCCCUGCCUGGACCCCGAAAAGCCCUCUGGACCUUCCUUUUUUUCACCCACCACCGUCCCCCCGGGCCUCCAGGAACCUGAUGCCCCCAGAAGACUUUAUCUUCCAGGGAUAGGUGACGGGUGGCAACAAGCCUUCCCUAUGUUACCAUGUGGUGCAACAGGCCAGUGAUGCCUCCUUGUUUCACGAUGACUUCCCGCACAGCCAGGUCCCAGGCGGGGACAGGCCCAGACAGCCUGACAUGCAGGGACAAGAGUGAAGCCGUCGGUGGGCCUUUCUCAAUCAUACACCUGUCCUCCCAGCGCGUGGACUGUGAAGGUCCUGGCAGCAAGCAGGUGGCUGCGGACACCAAAGGUGGAAGCCGGGUCCUGAGGCAUCCCUUCAGCUGGGGUCCACAGGCAGAGCAGGGGUGGGUCCGUGGGACGAAGAUAUGGGGUCACCUGGGUCCUCUCCUGUCUCCUCUAGGCUGCCAUCUCCUCGAGGGCAGGACAGUACCUAGCACAUCCUUGCAUGCCAGGUUCCUGCCGGGGUGGGACCCCGAGUAGGUGCUCCUGGGUGCUGCUGGAUGGCCGAGGGACACAGGGAAGGACUGAACCAGCCUUGUCUUCCCUGUGGGUGGGAGUAUCACCAUGUGGAAAUGUGGCAUACCUUCUUGGAGAACAGUCUGGCAAAGCCAGAAGCACACAGGCACUGCCGGGGCCCUGGCAGGUUCCCGGAGCCCUGGCUCUGAAGGUGACUUGAGCACAGAGCUCCCUGCCUGAGCCCUUUGUAGCCAAGACCCCCUCCAGUCUUCCCAGCAGAUGGGCAGGAGCUGGGACUGGGCACAGGCGGAGGUUGCCAGGGGUCAGUGGUCCUAUAGGGGCGGCGGGGGUGUCCAGCUAGCUCCCAGAGGGAGGAUUCCAGCCUGUGCUGAGCGUGAGGUCAGGAUCCUGGGUAGGUGACCCUGGGGACAACUUCAGAGUCCCUGGAGGGCGAGGAGGCAGACAGGGGCACGUGUGGUAGGGCGGCUUCUCUGUCCUACAGGGAAGCUGACUGUCUCCUCUCCCACCACAGAGCUCCCAGGAUGUGGGAGGACGCAGGCACCCCAGGGAGGCCGGGAGCCCUGGUGCCACCUGUGCACAGGUGCUGGGAGAGCCCCGGGGUGAGGAUGCUCUUGGCCCCUCUGCUCCUCUCUUUCCCAUCCUACCUGUUACUGGGCCUUCCUCCCUUUGGGGCUGACCCUCCCUUGUGUAUAUUUUCCCUCAUCAGGCCUCUCCUGCCUUUUUCUGGCCCCUGUUCUCCCUUUGGCUUAGCUCUGCUGUUUCCAGUCCCUAGUCCCUGCCUUGUCUCCCUCCCUCCCUUGUGUGCCUUUCCCAGGCCAGGCUGGCGGUAGAGUGGGGAAUAGGGAGUGAGGAGGAGCCUCUGGUUGACCAGAGUUGGCCUUUGUACCUUGCCACAUGAUCCCCAGGUCUAUUUAAACCACAUUUCCUUCAUGUCCCUUAUGUUCCCUAUCACUGCUAUCUGCAAUUUCAUAGCAGAUAAUGUAUUAUUUCAUAAAAUUAUAGAGAAAAGACAGAGAUAGUGAUGUAAUGGUGCCUGCUCCUCUGCAGAGACCGCAUGGCCUUUCUAGGCAUUUCUGGGCAACCUGCUGUAGCCCCCACACAGACUCACCUGAGCCAGCUGGCCGCCCAAUCUCAACUUGGCUGUGGGGUGGUCCCCAGUGCAUGAUCAUCACUUGUCCCAUUAUGGACUGGGAUCAUGUCUGUAGCGUUCUGGCGCCCCAGCUACAGCAGUGGCCAUGCCCCUUCUCUCACAGAGAUAUUCUGGUAAGGAGUAUUGUGGCAAGGGAUGGGGCUCCACCUGAAUACCGCAACAUACAAAUCUUUCAUCUAAAUGAGGAGUAAAUGACAGAGAAGUAGAUAGUUGGAUAGAUAAGGAGAUACAUAGACGGUAGGAAACAGAUAAGGAAAGAGUACACCAAGGCUAAAGCCAAUGGGGAACAUGUUCACAAUAUGCAAAUUUGCAUGAGGAGCAUAUGGAUACUCUUUAUAUACAACUUUCUGUAAGUUCGGCAUAAAAUAAAACAUUUAAACAAAUAAAAAAAUUAAAUUAAAAUGUUCGCUCUCUGUAGGAGCUAAUAUGGAGCGUUUUCUGUUACAACUUAUGUCUGCUCUUCAAAUUGACCACAAGGAGUGACUGUUGUUCUCACAGUCGUGGAAGUCAGGAAGAAAGAAAAAUCUCAGGCAGCCCAGGUGGCUCAGCAGUUUAGUGCCUGCCUUCAGCCCAGCUGUGAUCCUGGAGUCCCGUGAUCGAGUCCCACAUUGGGCUCCCUGCAUGGAGCC